GGGAGACAAGAAGAGUGCACGGUGGAUGCCUUGGCCUAGGAUGGCGAUGAAGGACGCGACUAAUCUGCGAUAAGCUUCGGGGAGGCGAUUUGUAGCCUUUGAUCCGGAGAUUUCCGAAUGGGGGAACCCUCCAGUAUUGAACUGGAACUCACGGAGUCACGUCUGUGUAGAGCGAACCCGGGGAAGUGAAACAUCUCAGUACCCGGAGGAAAAGAGAACAAUAUGAGUUGCGUUCAAUUGGCGCGUAUGUUCGUGUCAAUUGAACGCAACUCUCGUGAUACCCUGAAUAGCGGCGAGCGAAAAGGGAAAAGCCCAAACCUCUUUCUUCGGAAAGGGGGGUUGUAAGAUAUGAACGUCGUACUUGUACGAAAAGAGUUACCAAUCGUCUUUAUAGUCGAAGUUGCUGGAAAGCAACGCCCCAGAGGGUAAUGGCCCCGUAGACGAAAUAAAUGACGACUCUUGUUUAUAUUCUUGAGUAGCUCGAGACACGAAUAGCUCGAGUGAAUCUGCCGGAACUAACCGGUAAGGCUAAAUACAUCCUAUGACCGAUAGUGAACUAGUACCGUGAGGGAAAGGUGAAAAGAACCCCGAGAGGGGAGUGAAAUAGAACUGAAACCGUGUACUUACAAAGGGUCGAAGCGGAUAGUCCUUCGGGAUUAUUCCGUAACGGCAUGCCUAUUGAAGAAUGAGCCAACGAGUGUGUGUAUCUUGCGUAGCUAAGCCCUUACGGGGCGGAGCUGUAGGGAAACCGAGUGUGAAUAGCGCGAUUGUAGGAUGCAUACGACCCGAAGCCAGAUGAGCUUACCAUGAGCAGGGUGAAGUCUGUCGAAAGACAGAUGGAGGCCCGAACCCGUAGGUCGUACAACGCCUUGGGAUGACUUGUGGUAAGGAGUGAAAAGCUAAUCGAAUCUGGGAAUAGCUGGUUCUCUCCGAAACAGCUUUUGGGCUGGCGUCGCAAUGUGCAUGGGGGUAGAGCACUGGAAGGGACCGACAGGGAGAAAUCUCGCGGUUCCUAUCAAACUCCGAAUACCAUGUACCCGUGCGGCAGUUAGAAGGUGGGGGCGAAGCUCCAUCGAUCGAGAGGGGAAGAGCCCUGAUCGCCAGUUAAGGCCCCUAAAUCUACGCUCAGUACAUUAUAAGGAAGUGAGAAUCCACUGACAGUGAGGAUGUUGGCUUAGAAGCAGCCACCAUUUAAAGAAAGCGUAACAGCUCACUCAUCGAGGGUUCUUGCGCCGAAGAUGAUCGGGGUUAAGCGUAGUGCCGAAACUGCGGGCUUGUAAGCUUCACUGGGGAUACAAUAUGUUUCCUCAGCGUGUGUCAGUCACCAUGUGAUUGAGCUCUGAAUUAGUCACAGGAUUCUGUGACUGGCACACAAAUAAAUAAGUUCAUUAGAAGUGAAAUAUAGGGAUAUAGGGGAUGUGGCGCAGCUUGGUAGCGCAGCUCCUUCAUUAGAAGGAGAGGGUCGGAGGUUCAAAUCCUCCCAUCCCAACCAUAUUUCAAAAAACAUAUAGCUGAAUCAAAUGAUUCGGCUCUCUAGUGAAGCUUGCAAGCGGUAGGAGAGCGUUCGCAUCUGCGAUGAAUGGUAAGGGGUGACCCGUCCUGGAGCGAUGCGAAGUGAGAAUGUUGGUACAAGUAACCACAAUGCGGGUGAGAACCCCGCACGUCGAAAGACCAAGGUUUCCUCAGCUAUGGUGAUCAACUGAGGGUUAGUCGGGCCUAAGGAGAUGGCGAGAGCCGCAUCCGAUGGACACACGGUUAAUAUUCCGUGACCGUAUAUAGAGGCGAUGGAGUGACGGAUUGCUGUAUUUGUUGCCGGUGAUUGGAUUCCGGUUGUUCAUGUGAGGGCGCGCGUUAGGUAAAUCCGGCGUGCAUUAAGCCCGAGUAUGGACACAAUCUCCUCUUACGGGGGGAGAGAGAACAGAAAGCGCGGUUUCAAGAAAAACUUCUAAGUAUUAACUCUAUGUGCGACCGUACCGCAAACCGACACAGGUGGUCAGGGCGAGUAGCCCAAGACGAACGAGUGAGAGGUCCUCAAGGAACUCGGCAAACAAGCGACCGUAAGUUAGCGAUAAGGUCUGCCCCUCGCAAGAGGGGCCGCAGCGAAAGUUUUCCUGGCAACUGUUUAUCAAAAACACAGCUCCCUGCGAACUCGUAAGAGAAUGUAUAGGGGGUGACACCUGACCAAUGCCGGAAGGUCAACCACGGUUGGUAUGCUGCUUCGGUAGUAUGCUGGACUGUGUAAGCCCCGGUGAAUGUCGGCGAUAACUAUAAUCGUCCUAAGGUUCGCGGUGUGACAUUUGUCGCACCGCGAAGGACUGGGACGAUUGUAGGAUAAACAGAAUACACUAAGUUACCUUAGUAUGGAGCAAUCUGUACUUUGUCCGUUGAUGACUCCAAGAGGCCAUACGUCAUAGCCCUACGCACAUUGAGGUGCUAGGGAAAAGAUAUGGUCCUUCGCGUGCUUUAAAGGAAACGAAGAGCGCAAUUCCUUGUCGGGUAAGUUCCGACGUGCACGAAUGGUGUAAUGACUGGGAAGCUGUCUCGAGGACUCGCUCGGUGAAAAUGCAAUUCCGGUAAAGAUGCCGGAUACCUGUAGUUAGACGAAAAGACCCCAGGAGCUUUACUACAACUUCGUAUUGGCUCUGUGGGAUUCAUGCGUAGCAUAGGUGGGAGACUUUGAGACAUUCCUUUUGGGGGAUGUGGAGUCGCAAUAUGAAAUACCACUCUUGAAUUUUGCAGUGUCUAACCCCGUUGGGAUCCAACGGGGGACCGUGCGUGGCGGGUAGUUUUGGUGGGGCGCCAUCCUCCUAAAGAGUAACGGAGGAGUCUAUUAAGGUUCUCUAGGCGCGAAUGGAAACCGUGCCGAUAGUGUAAUGGCAUAAGAGAGCUUAACUGAAAGGGGUACAUCCCGAACAGAUGCGAAAGCAGAGCAUAGUGAACCGAUGGUACGCCUUAGAUGCGGCCAGAGAUUAACGGAUAUAAGUUACCCUGGGGAUAACAGGCUAGUUCCGCCCAAGCGUCCAUAGCGACGGCGGAGUUCGGCACCUCGAUGUCGGCUCACCUUAGCGCGGGGCUGGAGCAGGUCCCAAGCGUUUGGCUGUUCGCCAAUUAAAAAGGUACGCGAGCUGGGUUCAAACCGUGAGGAUUGUCGAGUUUUCUCGAAAUUCUCACCGUUUGAAUCCCUUUGAGUUUCUGUUAUCAGAAAUAAAAUUAUAUAAAUGUUUUUUCGUCUACAUAAAAACAGAUAGAGCCAACCAUAUUACGGCGGUCUCAUGUAGGAAUACAUGGGAAGCAAAUCAACUUAUAUCGGUAAAACCCGAAUCCAAUACAUGGAAGGGUAAUACCGAGGGAAUAUAAUUGUAUUAUUUAUAAUUAUUGCCCGUAGAGACUGAAUGU
rnacentral:rRNA from 1 species